rnacentral:rRNA from 1 species
UGGGGAAUUUUGGACAAUGGGGGAAACCCUGAUCCAGCCAUCCCGCGUGUGCGAUGAAGGCCUUCGGGUUGUAAAGCACUUUUGGCAGGAAAGAAACGUCAUGGGUUAAUACCCCGCGAAACUGACGGUACCUGCAGAAUAAGCACCGGCUAACUACGUGCCAGCAGCCGCGGUAAUACGUAGGGUGCAAGCGUUAAUCGGAAUUACUGGGCGUAAAGCGUGCGCAGGCGGUUCGGAGAGAAAGAUGUGAAAUCCCAGAGCUCAACUUUGGAACUGCAUUUUUAACUACCGAGCUAGAGUGUGUCAGAGGGAGGUGGAAUUCCGCGUGUAGCAGUGAAAUGCGUAGAUAUGCGGAGGAACACCGAUGGCGAAGGCAGCCUCCUGGGAUAACACUGACGCUCAUGCACGAAAGCGUGGGGAGCAAACAGG